UCUUCUUGUGACUAAAAAAUAUGGAAAAAAAUAGAGGCUCAUCAUUCAAUCAAAAUGAAGAUGAGUUGUUAUGUUGUGUGUAUCUAGAAAUAUCACAAGAUCUAAUUGGUAAUAAUAACCAAUCUGUGGGAAAAUUUUGGGAAAAAAUAAGUAAAAGCUACCACGAAAAGAAACCGGAGGACUGGGAAAUUAGAAACAUAAGAUCUUUACAGAAUAGGAUGAAUAACAUUACAUAUGCUAUUAGGAAUCUGAAGAACUGCAUCACCCAAGUGGAGAAUAUGCAUCCAAAUGGUGCGUCCAAAUUUGAUAUCAUGGAAAAAACCGAAAAACUCUACAUACAAGAUCCAAAACAAAAGAAUGGUUUUAAAUUUGACCACGUUUGGAAUUUGAUGAAGGAUAUAUGAGUAUUAGUAUUGUUGUAGUAAUUUAAUUUGUGUAAUAUUUAUGUGUUCAUGUGAAAACUACACUAAAUAUAGUGUUAUUUCAAUACCAAAAUGGUGUUAUGGUUGGAGAUGUCCUAAAUAUUUCCGUAAUGGUCUCAUUUAUGAUUAAUCAAUGCGUUUCGAAGAGUUAUAUCAGAA